UAGAAUGUGACAAGUGACAGUUGGUGGUUGUUUAUGGAUGUGGCUUGUGGUGGGUGCUCGUAUUGGUGGUUGUGGGUUGUUGUAACACCAAGGAUUUUCGCUCAUAAUUUCUUCGACUUAUUUUCUCUUAAUUAUUAUUUUCCGUCCAAUUUAGAAUAUUUUACUUCUAAAAAUAUUAUAUCUUAUGUUAUUUGUUUUCCAAUUUUUUUUAAAUGUUGUAUUUGUCAAAUUUAUUGGAUUAGAAAUUAUAUAUAUAUUCUACUAUUUAAAAAUGCAAGUUUGAUCUAGUAUUUUAUUUAUUCGAUUUUAGCGCGUUUUGGACCGUUGCACGACCUUUUAACAUGAAGCUUUAUGUUCCUAAAAGCUGUCCGAAAAUAUGUCUUGUAUGAGAGUUAUUUUCAGAUUUAUUUCGACCUUUAAAAUCUCUUUGUAACACCCAUUUUAUUACCCCAUACUUACCCCAACAAUUUCAACUUGUAACCCCCUUUUUAUUUCCCUUGGCUGCUGAACCGAUCAGGAAAAAAAAAAGGUGCUUUACAACUCUUCUUCUCUCUUUUGCAUUUUUCGUCCAUUUAUGCACACCCACUUUGUUUGCAUCGUAUCUCCUUCAUUUCUCAUCGGAAUUGGAUGUUUGAGUAGUCAAAAUCUAUCUACUCGGAAAGAUUUUGCUCGUGGUGUAAUUUGUUUUUGAAGAGAGGGAAAGACGAGACUCCAGUUUCUGUUUCAAUCAGACGAGUCACCCGAUUUUGUUUUCUUGUCGUGCCUUCACGAAUUUUAUCAUCGCGGAAGAUCAAACCGUUGGAUCGCCCUGAAAUUUGGACAGCAUGUUUAGGACAUAUGGGCCUUCAUUAUCACCAGAGUGAUUUGGAAUCACAGCUAUAAAUGUCGGGAAUCGAGAUCGGAGCAGAGAGCAGUACAUAAUGAAAAUGCAAGCAAUUGGAGGUCUUCAAAGGAUAUGUUGAUGACGAUCUUAUUUGGUUUUGGGCUCGGGUUGAGAUGUGAGCAUUAAAAUGUUAGAUGUUUUAGGCCUAGACUCUUUUAUUAAUUUAAGAGUUAGUCUUCUCUUUUGGUUAUCAAAUUAAUUUAUUUAUACUAUUUAUUUAUGUUGGUUUUAUCACUUAGAUAUUUAAACGCAUUUCUUGUAGUAGUGACAUUCCCAGAAGACGAUGCUUCCGCCAUCAUCCUAUACUAUUUAUUAUUAUUUAUUA